rnacentral:rRNA from 1 species
GAGUGCCUACGGGCGCAGCAGUGGGGAAUAUUGCACAAUGGGGGAAACCCUGAUGCAGCGACGCCGCGUGGGUGAAGAAGUAUUUCGGUAUGUAAAGCCCUAUCAGCAGGGAAGAAGAAUGACGGUACCUGACUAAGAAGCACCGGCUAAAUACGUGCCAGCAGCCGCGGUAAUACGUAUGGUGCAAGCGUUAUCCGGAUUUACUGGGUGUAAAGGGAGCGCAGGCGGCACGCUAAGCCUGAUGUGAAAAUCCGCGGCCCAACCGCGGGAGUGCAUUGGGAACUGGCGGGCUAGAGUACCGGAGG